rnacentral:rRNA from 1 species
UACGUAGGGUGCAAGCGUUAAUCGGAAUCACUGGGCUUAAAGCGCGUGUAGGCGGGCCGGCACGUCGGGCGCUGAAAUCCCCCGGCUCAACCGGGGAACGGGCACCGAUACGAGCGGCCUGGAGGGGAGUAGGGGGACCUGGAACUUCCGGUGGAGCGGUGAAAUGCGUUGAGAUCGGAAGGAACGCCCGUGGCGAAAGCGAGGUCCUGGGCUCCUGCUGACGCUGAGACGCGAAAGCCAGGGGAGCGAACGGG